UACGUAGGGGGCAAGCGUUGUCCGGAAUCAUUGGGCGUAAAGAGCGUGUAGGCGGCCCGGUAAGUCCGCUGUGAAAGUCCAGGGCUCAACCCUGGGAUGCCGGUGGAUACUGUCGGGCUCGAGUCCGGAAGAGGAGUGUGGAAUUCCUGGUGUAGCGGUGAAAUGCGCAGAUAUCAGGAGGAACACCGGUGGCGAAGGCGGCGACCUGGGUAGAUACUGACGCUGAGGCGCGAAAGCGUGGGGAGCGAACAGG
rnacentral:rRNA from 1 species